CUUUCUGCAGACUUAAGCUGAGGUGUCGACAGUAACUCAAGUUAAUGUCAUCCUCCGAUUGCAACUUUGCCGUGGAUCGUGCCAAAACGAGGCUGCAAUGAGUGGAUCUGUCGCCCUGCAACUCUUCCAAGAUUCCCGCUAAAAGAACAAAGGACGUGUGCGUGUGGCAAAACGUUUGUUCAUCUUGUUACAUCUGCGUGCGGUUACAUAUGAAGCACCAGUCUAUUUCCCGGUGGCUGAGCCAGCUGGGACUGCCACAGUACUGCACAGCGCUGGAGCAAGAAUAUGACGGUGUAGAGGACCUGCUCCACCUCUCAGAGUACGACCUCUUGGAGCUCGGAGUCCACAAUCACCUCCACCGCCUGCACCUCCUUACUUCUUUACGCCUCCUCCAGGAGCGAGAGAGGA